GUGAAGCACGGAACGGUUUCUAACAAUCAAGCGCUUCGUGUAAAUUAAUUAGCGAGCCGAUCCAUCAUUACAACCGCCUUGUUUUCCUUAUUGAAUAAUGUCACAUGCUUCCAGUCUUAACAUCAAUUACUUUCCGUAGAAGGAAUCCGAACUGGCUGUCGCCGUUGUAAGGGGUUUAUCCGAAAAGUGAAGUACAUCAGAAAUGAAAGAAGGAAAGAAACAGUUAAUUUUUCACAGGUGGCGACACUGCCACUUCGCUCCUCUGAGUGCGAACUUGAGGUUCACAGUAAAACUUUACAUAAAAUUAGUAGAGUCAUUCAAAACGUCAUGACGUAAUAGGAAAUUUGUUUAUUUAACGGUAACUCAUAUCUAGACAGUGCGUGUAGCACACAAGAACCCUUACAAUCCUCCGGGGUUUAAUUACGCUUCAGUCACUCCAUCUUUUCAAGUUCUAAGGCAUACGCAGGUGAGAAGGCGAAUCAGGGAGCUGACGAAACACUUCUACAGAAAUUGAAAGUAAACAAAUUCACGAAACGUGUGGAUGGAAGAGAGCAAUAGCUAAGGUGAGUUUCGUAGCUGAUGCCGAUAGCUGUGUGAGCUGUGCGUUCCUGUCCCUUCUGAUGUGAUAGCCGCGCAGGGGUACGAGGAGACGCUUCAGUCCGCGCUGAAUGCAAUCGGAGGUGGCUUCUCCAUGAGGCUAUUCACCGCUGCUGCUUGGCAUGUCUUCUGGUUCUUCACACGACCACAGAUGCUGCAAUCACCACAAGCCAGUCGACCAUCUCUCCACAAUUUAGAAAUAUGCAAGGCAUUCCACCUAAUAUUUUAAUAUCCCAUAAUUUAACCUAAUUUCUGCAACAACAUCACUGUGAGACUACUCCAAUUAAAUAAUAAAACGCCAUAAAAAUUAAGAGAUAUAUAGCAAUGCAGUGUGUGUAAAUGUGAUGUUAUGACAUCGCUGGUUUGCAGAAAGUCCAAAACAUAUCAGUCGAAGAUACAAGUCUUUGUGUACAUACCUUGAAUAAUAACAGCUACAUACUUGUUUUGAGCUGCUUUCAGGCAAUACGUCCUUCUAUCUAGUUCAGUAUUCACAUAUGUUGAUAACAAAUCAAUUUCAAUCUUUAAUUUGGUAAUAUGAAAGGCACUCCACCUUCUACUGCAAUUUACUAUAAUCUAUACUGAUUUGCACAAUCAACAAAUACACUAUUCAUCUCAUUGAUACAUGUGAAGACAAAUAUGACAUUCGAUCGAACUUGUGAUGAAGGGAAAAAAAGAGAGAGAUAAAUAAAACAUUUACCAAAAAAAUAUUUGGUAUUUCGGCUCUCUAUCGACAUCGUGGCAGUCUAGUUACAGCUUUGUUUUCUAUACAGAAAAAAACCUUGGAUUAAAUGCAAAGUGUUCUACCUAGUGUACCUAGAACUCAGUAAUGUUCUGUCAAUAUAGCCUGAAGCGGAGCUAGCCAAGUGUUAGUAAUGUAUAUCCUGCAUACAGUGGAGGAGGAGUGGUAGACCGCACAGAAAAGGUUUGAGACACUUACACCAUUCACAUAUUGUUAUGACUGUGGGUAGUGACGUCAGGAGCUGCUGCAGUGCCGACAGUGGAAGCGGCAUACUCGCCUUCUCCAACCCACCAAGUCCGCAAUCGCUGAGCAUUGCAUUUCUACUGGCCAUUCUAUGAAUUACAAUGAUACAAAAAUUGUGGCUCAAACAUCAGUUAUAAAUGAAUCCAUAGAAAUAAAAUUGUCAGACAGCAAGACUCUUAUCAAUCUAGAUAGCGGUUACCAGUUAAAUUCCGCUUGGAAUCCCAUUGUAGAGAAACUUCGUAGUCAACGUAGUUAUCGGUAUAAAGAUGAAGAUCGAUCUGAUAUCGAAAUGCCAAGUUUUCACAGCGGAGGGCGCGAGGCGCAGCGCACGGAGUUGUGAACGCGCACGCUAAACAGUACAUACGCAGCGCAUGCGCAAUGCAGCCCCUUUGGCUUUAAAUAGCAGAGCUCAGCGCGUAUUCGCCAGUACUUCUUCAGCUGUACUCAUCUGAAGAUGACCAAAAGGCUUUGUGCCGAAAUAUCGUGGCAAGAUGUUACUGACUUACGGCAGUUCUCCCGUGUUUUUAUGGAACAAACAGUACGCCGUGAACAUUUCAAACAUCACAACAUAUUACUUUAUUAUGAAUGGUCCUGGUAAACAGAGGCUAGUGAUAAAAAUAAUGAGAAUAGCAAAAGUGAAAUGUCAAUAAAGUGUUAGUAAAUUUUGGUAUUUAAAUGUUCAUUACAAAAUGAAUAGGUAUGUGUUUACCCAAACUCACAUUGGUCAGUCAAUUUAAAUAAACAGUGAUAUACUUUGUUUUGAGGUCUAAUCCAUAUCUUUAUGCAACAUGUAUUUACUAGAAUCUGAACAUACGUCCCAAGCAAAGACAAUAAACAUAUAGGAUUGCUUUUAGAUAAUAAGGUUUUGGAAAAAUGGUCUUGUCGUUGUGGAUAAAAUUUUAUUUUGUAAUAUGUGUAAUUCUGUAUGUUUAAAAAUGAUUUAUUCCAUGUACGAAAGGCAACGUAUUUGUAAAUGAAUUUUUUGAAUCAAACUGAAGAAUUUUGAUGAUUAUGAAAUUAUCAAUUUUCUUAUGCAUUUUGUUUUAAACGAUUUUGGAGUUAAAAUAAUAUGGUGUUUGUUCUGGCAAA